rnacentral:rRNA from 1 species
GACGAACGCUGGCGGCGUGCUUAACACAUGCAAGUCGAACGAAGAGCGAUGGAAGCUUGCUUCUAUCAAUCUUAGUGGCGAACGGGUGAGUAACGCGUAAUCAACCUGCCCUUCAGAGGGGGACAACAGUUGGAAACGACUGCUAAUACCGCAUACGAUCUAAUCUCGGCAUCGAGGAUAGAUGAAAGGUGGCCUCUACAUGUAAGCUAUCACUGAAGGAGGGGAUUGCGUCUGAUUAGCUAGUUGGAGGGGUAACGGCCCACCAAGGCGAUGAUCAGUAGCCGGUCUGAGAGGAUGAACGGCCACAUUGGGACUGAGACACGGCCCAGACUCCUACGGGAGGCAGCAGUGGGGAAUCUUCCGCAAUGGACGAAAGUCUGACGGAGCAACGCCGCGUGAGUGAUGACGGCCUUCGGGUUAUAAAGCUCUGUUAAUCGGGACGAAAGGCCUUCUUGCGAAUAGUGAGAAGGAUUGACGGUACCGGAAUAGAAAGCCACGGCUAACUACGUG